GUACCCGUUAUCGAGACCACUAAAGUAAAGAAAAAGAGUUGGUUCUUUAUUCGAAUCCCUGGGAACGAAUCCCGCCCCGACAAGAAACGCCCCGUGAGACAUCACAAGAAAUGACGUCACGUAGCUCAGUCAUUUGUCACGGUGGGGUGCAGCGUGCUGCGGUUCGUUCCCGGGACGCAAAACUGACGGCUCCGGACGAAAGCGUGCAGUGAAAGCACCGCGGGCCACGCCCACGGGCGUUCCCUCUCAGCUGCGGACGCGCCUCCGCAUGGCUGCAGGAGAUCAGUGAUCAGCGCACCUGCCCGUGAUGAGCGAGCUGCCUUCUUAAGCCGGCGCAACCUUUGUUCCUGUGCCAGAACGUAGCUUCAUGUUGCAGUACUAUACCCUCCGUCACCUUGGAAGUGAGCUGUGCGUCUCACUUCCCUGGACCCAUCUGGAUUCGGACUCCCUCCCUCGAUCCACAACCCCGCUUUGGACACAGACCUCUCGACAUCUCUCUCUCCAGCCCCACGGACCUCCCGCUUGUGUAUACGGACCUUCAUCUGCCUAGCCCCUUUUGGACUUGUCUGCUUCUUCCCUCAGCACGCACCUUCAACAACCCCCUGGUAAUAUUUAAUUGCUAGCGCUUCACAUAGUCCUGCUUGACACACACCUAGUAGCAUACACACUCCACCGCAUAAUCAAUACUCAAUAAAAUAUUAUUGAGCUAUACCUUCUGCCAAAGCGCCGUCUCCUUCUCCAUAGUACUGUCACAGGAUUGAAAUAAAGGGCAUUGUAAUAGCGGCGGCAAUAUGAAGGAGGUAGACUUUGAACAAGUCAGCCUUUUAUUUAUGUACACAAAUAGCACUGUCGAACUAAAUAGGUAGAAGCGCGACACAAAAACAUGCGACGGCUCCUCGAACACUUUUCCGUCUCCUUUUUCGCUCCCACUGAGACUAGGUACAAUACUGCAGGCAGGCCUAUCACUGCCCUCCCACAUCGACUAAUUACAGUUUACUACACAAUAUUCCCAUCACUACAUUAUAUUCUUUGAUAACCUGGUCUGAUUGAUAGUCCGCAAUUACAGAAUGUUUAACGGGCUCAAUAUUACAUUUUAUUUAAUAAAUAGAGAAGGUUAAAACAUUGUCAUGCCUAAAUGUGAAUACCAUUAACUUGUACAUGUAAUAUCAAUAUUCUACAUUACCUAACAUCUUUGACAACAAAGCAUGAUCGUAACGAUCCACAUUUUGUGUUAUUAAUGUGUGAAACUGGUAUCUAAACACGGAAGUGUAGCUCCUCUCCUCUGAAUGCAAGUGCUUCGACAGCAGGAAUAUGAAUUCAAAAGCAUUUUUAUGUCCUUUUUGUUUUGAGCUGUUUGAAAAAGCAUAAUGUUUAAAACACAUUUCAUUAAAGCAAACUAAUUGUCCAGUCAUGGUGUUAAAACUUGAAAAUGAUCUGUCGAGGGUACAUUUGUUAACGAUGAAAAAUUAUAGUCAUUUGCGAUUAAUCACGAUUAAUUUUGAGUUAAGUAUGAACAAACUGCGAUUAAUCACGAUAUAUAUGUAUAUGUGUCUAUAUAUGUGUAUACACACACUAGGGUUGUAUAGUAUACCGGUGUUAGUGUAGUACCACGAUACUAAUGAGUCAUAUUCGGUACUAUACCGCAUCACAACAUCUUCUUUCAUUUAAAAAAAAUGUAUAUUGAUUGAUUGAUUGAUUGAGAAGUUUAUUGACAUCUUAAAGAAUUUAAUCCAUGUAAUGCUUUAAAAAGGCAAAUGGAUGGCACAAAAAGCCAAAAGGCUUGUUUGCAUUGUGGUCCAUUAAAUAUUCAUCACAUUUGAUACAUUUAAUAAUAAAAGAUAUAUAACCUGUAACAUGUGUAUAAAAAAUAUAUGUAUUAUGUUUAAAAACUCAGGAAAUAUGUCCCUGGACACAUGAGGACUUUAAUAUGAACAAUAUAUGAUCCUGUAACUACUUGGUAUCGGAUUGAUACCUACAUUUGCGGUAUCAUCCACAACUAAUGUAAAGCAUCCAAACAACAGAAAAAUAAGUGAUUAUUACAUUUUAACAGAAGUGUAGAUAGAACAUGUUAAAAAAGAAAGUAAGCAGAUAUUAACAGUAAAUGAACAAGUAGAUUAAAAAUUCAUUUUCUACCACUUGUCCUUAAUAAUUUUGACAAAAUAUUAGAAUAAUAAAUGACACAACAUGUUACUGCAUAUGUCAGCAGCUAAAUUGGGAGCCUUUGUUUGCUUACUUACUAAUAAAAGACAAGUUGUCUUGUAUGUUCACUAUUUUAUUUAAGGACAAACUUGCAAAAGGAAACAUAUGUUUAAUGUACUGUAAGAUUUGUUGUUAAAAUAAAGCCA